GGCGGGUCGAGAGAGCCUAAUACAAUACCCGCAAGGGGAAUAAGUUCCGCCGUCUUACGUCGGUAGUUGAAGCCCGCCCACCUACU
rnacentral:ncRNA from 1 species